GGAAUAAAGAGCUCUUAUAUGGAAGCGAAAUGCAUAGGAGGGUGUUUUCUGAUGCGGAAGCUUGUCACCAAGUUCCUUCAGAAAAUCACUUUAUUAUGCCGGCAAGAAAAUAAUUACACAAAUUUCAAACCUAGAAACAAAUUAAGAUCAAGAAGCUUUUAUUACCCUUACGCCUCAACGUAGUCUUAUAUCACAGUCCCGCUCAACGUAGUCUUAUAUCACAGUCCC
rnacentral:misc_RNA from 1 species